CGCAGAGGCGGGAGGUAUGACCU
rnacentral:miRNA from 1 species